CCGGGGCUGGAGCUGCGGGCUGACUGGGGUGGCCGCGUGGACACUACCCUCCGGCGGGACCGAGGAGCAGCUGCUGGGAGUCUGUGUCCCUCCCGCUGCUCCUGGACAUUCCCAGGCGGCACGGAACUCAGAUUUCGGGGAUUAAGAUCAAGCCCCCGGAGGCGAGUGCGCCGCGGAGAGCAGACGGAGACUGGGAUUCUUCCAGAGCCGCCGAAAAGUCCGCGCGCUGGACAGAGAACUCAGCUCCAACUUGGGCGGCUCAGAUCAACCCCAGUGGCAACCCUCAGGCCAACGGGAAAGACCUCGGCCCGAGCCUGAGCCUGGUGCCACGCAGAAGGCGUUUCCUGUUGGUUCGACUGCACUUGGGCCGGGUGAGAGGACUUCCCGGGCAGAGAGAAAGGGGCAGCCUCGGCUUACUUCAGGAAAGCGCAGGUGUUUGGACCUUGAGCCAAAAUACAUCAAAGAAGAGAUCCCCUCCCACCCCCAGCUUACAGUCUCUCAGCUAUCAAGUGUGGACUCGACAGGAAUGUUGCAAGGAAAAACUAAUUAAACGGCAGUACAAUGCUUUGAAAAUA
rnacentral:lncRNA from 1 species